rnacentral:rRNA from 1 species
GACGAACGCUGGCGGCGUGCUUAACACAUGCAAGUCGAACGGAAAGGCCCUGCUCUUGUGGGGUGCUCGAGUGGCGAACGGGUGAGUAACACGUGAGUAACCUGCCCUUGACUUUGGGAUAACUUCAGGAAACUGGAGCUAAUACCGGAUAGGAGCUCCUGCUGCAUGGUGGGGGUUGGAAAGUUUCGGCGGUUGGGGAUGGACUCGCGGCUUAUCAGCUUGUUGGUGGGGUAGUGGCGUACCAAGGCUUUGACGGGUAGCCGGCCUGAGAGGGUGAACGGCCACAUUGGUACUGAGAUACGCACCAGACUCCAACGGGAGGCAGCAGUCGGGAAUAUUGCGCAAUGGGCGGAAGCCUGAUGCAGCAACGCCGCGUGCGGGAUGACGGCCUUCGGGUUGUAAACCGCUUUCGACUGUGACGAAGAGUGAGUGACGGUAAUGGGUAAAGAAGCACCGGCUAACUACGUG